CAGUCGCCGCGGUAAUACGGAGGGCGCGAGCGUUACCCGGAUUUACUGGGCGUAAAGGGCGUGUAGGCGGCCUGGGGCGUCCCAUGUGAAAGGCCACGGCUCAACCGUGGAGGAGCGUGGGAUACGCUCAGGCUAGAGGGUGGGAGAGGGUGGUGGAAUUCCCGGAGUAGCGGUGAAAUGCGCAGAUACCGGGAGGAACGCCGAUGGCGAAGGCAGCCACCUGGUCCACUUCUGACGCUGAGGCGCGAAAGCGUGGGGAGCAAACCGGAUUAGAUACCCCCGUAGUCCCUGUCUCUUAUAC
rnacentral:rRNA from 1 species